GACGAACGCUGGCGGCGUGCCUAAUACAUGCAAGUCGAACGCUUUUUCUUUCACCGGAGCUUGCUCCACCGAAAGAAAAAGAGUGGCGAACGGGUGAGUAACACGUGGGUAACCUGCCCAUCAGAAGGGGAUAACACUUGGAAACAGGUGCUAAUACCGUAUAACACUAUUUUCCGCAUGGAAGAAAGUUGAAAGGCGCUUUUGCGUCACUGAUGGAUGGACCCGCGGUGCAUUAGCUAGUUGGUGAGGUAACGGCUCACCAAGGCAACGAUGCAUAGCCGACCUGAGAGGGUGAUCGGCCACACUGGGACUGAGACACGGCCCAGACUCCUACGGGAGGCAGCAGUAGGGAAUCUUCGGCAAUGGACGAAAGUCUGACCGAGCAACGCCGCGUGAGUGAAGAAGGUUUUCGGAUCGUAAAACUCUGUUGUUAGAGAAGAACAAGGAUGAGAGUAAAAUGCUCAUCCCUUGACGGUAUCUAACCAGAAAGCCAAGGCUAACUACGUGCCAGCCGCCGCCGUAA
rnacentral:rRNA from 1 species